rnacentral:rRNA from 1 species
UACGUAGGUGACCAGCGUUGUCCGGAUUUACUGGGCGUAAAGAGCGCGCAGGCGGUCGUUCAAGUCGAGUGUGAAAGCCCCCGGCUCAACUGGGGAGGGUCAUUCGAUACUGAUCGACUUGAAGGCAGGAGAGGGAAGCGGAAUUCCCGGUGUAGUGGUGAAAUGCGUAGAUAUCGGGAGGAACACCAGUGGCGAAGGCGGCUUCCUGGCCUGUUCUUGACGCUGAGGCGCGAAAGCGUGGGGAGCGAACAGG